GGACCCGCACAAGCGGUGGAGCAUGUGGUUUAAUUCGAUGCAACGCGAAGAACCUUACCAGGGCUUGACAUACUGCGAAUCUUUCUGAAAGGAGAGAGUGCCUUCGGGAAUGCAGAUACAGGUGGUGCAUGGCUGUCGUCAGCUCGUGUCGUGAGAUGUUGGGUUAAGUCCCGCAACGAGCGCAACCCUUGUUUUUAGUUGCCAGCAUUUAGUUGGGCACUCUAGAGAGACUGCCGGUGAUAAACCGGAGGAAGGUGUGGAUGACGUCAAGUCAUCAUGCCCCUUACAUUCUGGGCUACACACGUGCUACAAUGGCUAGGACAAAGAGAUGCGACCCUGCGAAGGCAAAUCCUUAAAAAAUACCUCAGUUCGGAUUGCACUCUGCAACUCGAGUGCAUGAAGCUGGAAUU
rnacentral:rRNA from 1 species